rnacentral:rRNA from 1 species
UGCCAGCCGCCGCGGUAAGACGGAGGGUGCGAACGUUGUUCGGAAUCACUGGGCAUAAAGGGCACGUAGGCGGUCUGCUAAGUUGGGUGUGAAAGCCCUCGGCUCAACCGAGGAACUGCAUUCAAAACUGGCUGACUUGAGGAUGGUAGGGGUGAGUGGAACUCCAGGUGGAGCGGUGAAAUGCGUAGAUAUCUGGAGGAACACCAGUGGCGAAAGCGGCUCACUGGACCAUUUCUGACGCUGAGGUGCGAAAGCUAGGGUAGCGAACGGGAUUAGAUA